rnacentral:rRNA from 1 species
GAUGAACGCUGGCGGCGUGCCUAAUACAUGCAAGUCGAGCGAACAGAUAAGGAGCUUGCUCCUUUGACGUUAGCGGCGGACGGGUGAGUAACACGUGGGUAACCUACCUAUAAGACUGGAAUAACUCCGGGAAACCGGGGCUAAUGCCGGAUAACAUUUAGAACCGCAUGGUUCUAAAGUGAAAGAUGGUUUUGCUAUCACUUAUAGAUGGCCCCGCGCCGUAUUAGCUAGUUGGUAAGGUAACGGCUUACCAAGGCAACGAUACGUAGCCGACCUGAGAGGGUGAUCGGCCACACUGGAACUGAGACACGGUCCAGACUCCUACGGGAGGCAGCAGUAGGGAAUCUUCCGCAAUGGGCGAAAGCCUGACGGAGCAACGCCGCGUGAGUGAUGAAGGUCUUCGGAUCGUAAAACUCUGUUAUUAGGGAAGAACAAAUGUGUAAGUAACUGUGCACGUCUUGACGGUACCUAAUCAGAAAGCCACGGCUAACUACGUG